AACUAUUUUUGCUGCACUAUUUUUCCUAAGGGCAUCGACAAGGGACUUGUCAUUGUCAGCUCUUCCGUAGCUCACCGCUCUCUUGUAUAAUAUUUUGUGAAGUUCAAAAACAGUGAAACUCUGCGACAAGGAGAGAGAGAGAGAGAGAGAAGGCGAAGUAAUGGAGAAGGAAGAAGUGACGACCUAUUUGAAAUCUCACCACGCCAUGCGUUCUGCUAGAGCUGCUAUGCUUCUUUUGUCAUUCGAAAAUCGCCGUCAUCAACAGGUCUCGUCUUUCUUUUUCUUCUACUUAUUUUCCUCUCCUUUAUCUCUCUUAAUUAGUCUGUGAAACAAAUCGAAAUGGUUAAUUUAGGAGAAGGAAUUAAUGAAUCAAUCAAUUGAUGAUUUGAAGUUGGAACUUGUUCAAGAGCGCUUCAAGAGGAAGUAUAUGAAGCUCUGUGGUUUGAUUGAGUUUAUGCUGCUCAUUAUCUUCAUAAUUACUCUACUGAGUAUCGUCUUCCUCAAACUUCUUUGAAGAUUCACUACAUAUGAGCAAUUAAGCAUUCGUUUCUGCCAAUUUUAUUCCUGUGAUUUCUAACGCUAACCUAGAAUUGGGGAAAACCUGUUGGUUGAUAACUUGUGUAGAUGUUUCUAAUAUGUUUUUUAAAUGUUGAUUUUUCUUACUGUUUCAAUUUUAAUGUUAAGAGUAUGUCAAAUCUUUCCAUUACAAGACAAAAUAUGUUGCAGAUUUCAUAUUUUGUUCUUAAUUUUCUUUUUAUAUGAGUACUUCAUUAACUCCAUCAUCGUAAGACUUUGAAUAGGUUUUCUCUAUAUUUAAUUUGAAGUUUCAAUAAUUGAUUUGCGGCAUGGUUUUCUGUUUCUUUAUGAGUAUACAGACUUUCUUUAUACCUUAGUUUUAUUAAAAAUGUUUCAUUUAUUUUUUUAUGUUAUCUAUUACACUUAUUUAAUAUUUAAAUGUUUCAUUUAUUUUUUAAUUUUAUCUAUUACACUUAUUUAAUAUUUAAUAUCUCUUACUAUACAUAACGAAAAUAUUAGAAAAAACGGAUAUUAAUAAUCUUUGCAUUGAGAUGAAUCAAAUAAGAUGUAACCUGAUUAUGUUUUAAUUUAUAGAUUAGGAAUAAAAUACAAAUUAAGAGUAGUAAUUGAGUAGUGUCAAAAAAUAAAUGAGAUGUUUACUCACAAUAUAUUUAUUUGAAUAAUCUAAUUUUUUUGCGAUUUUCCUACUAUAAUUUCACCUAUUCAUUAAUCAUAAAUAAUCUUAACUAAUGAGUAAAAAUAAAUGAGAUAUUUACUCACAAUAUAUUUAUUUGAAUAAUCUAACUUUUUUGCGAUUUUCCUACUAUAAUUUCACCUAUUCAUUAAUCAUAAAUAAUCUUAACUAAUGAGUCACUUAACCAGAAAUAUUAUUCGUCGAAAAGUUACCUCUUAUUAUAGGUAAACUUAAAAAUAAGGCAAAAUUAUAAGAAGUUACUUAAUUUAUACACUUUUUUUAAAAAAUAACCUUAUGUAAAAGUUUUUACAAAAAAAACUACCUUAUAUAAUAUAAAUCUUUGCAAAACACUGCUUUUUAACGAAUUUUAAUAGUUGACCGUUAAUUUUGACCUUUGACCAUCACGUAACAGUCACGAAACCCUUAAAAGAGGCCUUCUUCUUCCUUUGAUGAAGCUUCCAUGGCUACAAGUUCUGCAAUGGAGGUCCAGAAGAAAGUAAAAAUAAAAACAAUCAAUUAACAUCAUAAUUCAGAAAGAAUAAACUCCAAAUCAAGAACCUAAAUCCAACCCAAUUUAUCAUCAAACAAUCAAACAACAAAAAUCAAACCUUAAAUUAUACAAUUCAUAACAUAAACAAAAAAAAUAGAAACCUUCUUAUCGAACGGAGGUUGAGCAGACAAUUGUUGAGAAGCAGCAGACUGAAACCCUUCACGACGCUUCUUCUGCAAAUUUUCUUCUCUACGAUUCUUACGAAUCUCAACCAUGUUACCUCCCUCCUUCUCCGUCCUUCAUCAGCAUCAACCGCCACCUUGUAUUUACUGCGGCACACUUCAAUCCUAGCAUUAGGUCUCAACGACAUUUUUUACGGCCGAAUGAAUAGAAUCAAAAUGCCAUUGAAAUUUGAAUUUUGAAGGUUAAUGGCAUUCAAAUUUAUACGAAAAUGGGAUUGGGUUAGUUUGAUUAGAGGAACCUUCAAAUGCAAAUGGAAAUGUCAAUUUUGAAGCAAGAAGCAGAACUUGCAGCCAUGAAGCUUCAUCAAAUGAAGAAGAAGGUCUUUUUUAAGGGUCACGUGACGGUCAAAGGCCAAAAUUAACGGUCAACUGUUAAAAUCCGUUAAAAGGGCCUUAUACAGUUGAACAUGUUAAACAUGUUCAGAACCUCCUAUGCUGGGUUAUUGCACCAUGUUUGACAUGGCGCAAGUUUCUUACGCAUUCAAGACCAUAUAUUUGGGAGUACAGUUUGCAUUGUUUGUUUGUGUGAGAAGCUGAUUAGCAGCUGUGCAAAAGCUGAACAGCAACAACAUGAAUACAAAUCAGUAGCAACAUGAAUGCAGAUCAGUGUGCAAGGUUUAGGAGCAGUUAAACAAGGUUGUGUGGAUCAGUUGCAUCAUGUAAUUGAGGUUGUUGGGCAGAAUACAGCAGCAUGUCUACAAAAUAAGACCAACAACAAAGGUGCAUUAAGCAGCAAAACAACAGGUCAGAAAUGGCCACAGAAUCAAAGUUCAGAAGAAGUGGCCUGCAAGUUGACCUUGCACGACACCUGGAUAACAACUUUGUGUACCAUGGACUAGGAAAACUCAAGAGAUGGCAUCUUGGUACAUGGACCAAGCAGUCAAGGCCCAAGGGUAGCUAUAAUAAGCCACACAGAGCCCACAGGACCAGCAUCAAGGUCCCAUGUCAGCCAGAUCAGUGAUAGUGUAGUUAUUCCGAUGUGUUGUUUCUGUUUUUAAUAACUGCUUGGCACGGUGUUUUUUUUAAUAAGGCUUAGGAAGUUUGUUAGGCCAAAUAUAGCUGUUAUUCUUGCAUAUAAAGCCCUAUAUAAAGGGAUGAUCUCAUUGUAAUUCAGACUUAGAUUUUGAUGAUUAAAUAAACCCAUGGUUUAGAGAGAA